CCAGGGUUAGUUAAUUUGGCUUAGUGGGUUUGUGUUAGGCUUGGGUAAAAACGAUUUGGGUCGGGGUAAUGGGUUUGUAGCAUUUGGACUUAGGACCGGGUCUAGGGAAGGUUUUGGGCUGAUGUAAUUGGACAUUUGAAACUUUAUUUGUUGAUUUGGCUUAUUAUUUUUUGAUAUUUUUUUGUUUACUUAUUUGAUUUGGGCCGGGCAGAAUUAAGGUAUUACAGUAACAACUUCACAAAUAAUGACUUUUUUAAAACACAGUCCCCGGUAACGGCGCUAAAAACUUGGAACAAUGGAAACG
rnacentral:lncRNA from 1 species